CAGGAAGUGUGUCGUUUGGAUGUGCCGCGCCAAAGUGUGUUUAUAAGGAAACAAACUGUGUUGACAUGUAUUGUUGCUGUGUCUGUUUGCCCUCACCUUGUUCAACUUCUGACUUCAUGGAUCGUUCCAAUAAGAUGAAGUUUUCCCCAGUCUGGAAUCAUUUUGAUCUUUUGACGGCAAAUAAGGUGAAGUGUUGGCUCUGCUCCACAGAGCUAUCUUACAUCAAUAAGAGCACUUCAUCAAUGCUGAAGCAUUAUAGAGCUCAGCAUGGCAAUGAAGAAUUGGCAGAUACUUGUGUGAGUACCCCAGUUCCUAACAAGCAAGCAGUGGAUGAGGCUGUGGUCAACAUGAUCAUCAAAGACUGUCAGCCACUCACCAUUGUUGGAAAUGAGGGAUUCAGGGAGCUCCUGAAGCUUAUUGCACCCUCAUAUGUUCUACCAAGCAGGAAGGCCAUCAAAGACUUGGUGAUCCAGAAAUAUGAGGAGGAAAAGGAAAAAACAAAAAUGGACCUCCAGAGCGUCGUUGCUAUUAGUUUAACAGCUGAUAUGUGGACGUCCAUUAAUAUGAAGGCAUAUCUUGCUGUUACUUGCCACUAUGUGGACAAAGAAAGCCAUGAACUCCGUUCAUCAGUCUUGGGAGUGCAGCAUUUUCCUCAGAGACACACUGUCUCAGGGUCAAAUGUUAUUCCAUUGAUGAGAAUGAUCCACAUUGAAUUUCAACGUCAAGCCUCAACAGUGACAAAAACAGCUGCUCAACAGCUGGCUGAAAAUCUGAGAAAGCGGCUAACUGAGUCUAUCUGCAACCUGGAAUCGCUCAGUGUGAUGACACUGGCAACACUGUUGGACCCCAGGUUUAAAACAGUUGGCUUCUUUAGUCCACUAAAAGCAACUGAAGCUGUCAAGAGACUGAAGUCGGAGUGUGCUGCUGAAAUGAGGAGCCAUGAGCCUGACCCAGCAGGAGAAGAGCCUAGCUCUUCACAUGGAUCAGAACCCAGUUCAGGGCACAAUCUCUGGAAACCUCUGGAUAUGGAGGUUGAGGAGAACAACUCGACCUCGAAUACUACAGCUGGUUCCAUAGUUGAAGUCCAACGCUACCUGGCUGAAACCAACACACCCAGAGCACAAGAUCCGUUACAAUAUUGGAAAAAUAACCAGAAAACAUAUCCACACCUGUAUCAACUCGCACUUAAAUUUUUAUGCACACCAUCCUCAUCUGUACCCUGUGAGAGAGUUUUUUCUCAGGCAGGGGAACUGAUGUCCAAGAAGAGAAAUCGCCUUGGAGCAAAGACACUACAAAAACUUUUGUUCCUCAAUAAAAGUAUAUGAAUGAA
ensembl:lncRNA